GCACAACCGAUGAGUCCCGCGAUAGGACGAAACGGCCGUCCAGUGC
rnacentral:hammerhead_ribozyme from 1 species